GUUGGUGCUGGAUCCUCAAGGCAGGGCUUGUCACAGUAUGAGAGAGUUGGUGUGGGGAAUCCAGCAGUGACACAGAGCUGCCUUUGCGGUCUCCUGAGAUUGAUUUAACAUGUGUGACGGAGGAAGAGGCUGCCUUGAAGUCUGAUGAUGGAUCCUCCACCUCUGGUCAUCUGGUUUCCGCCCCUGCCCAGUCCCCUGAC